rnacentral:rRNA from 1 species
AUUGAACGCUGGCGGCAUGCUUUACACAUGCAAGUCGAACGGCAGCGCGGGCUUCGGCCUGGCGGCGAGUGGCGAACGGGUGAGUAAUGCAUCGGAACGUGCCCAGUAGUGGGGGAUAGCCCGGCGAAAGCCGGAUUAAUACCGCAUACGACCUGAGGGUGAAAGCGGGGGACCGAAAGGCCUCGCGCUAUUGGAGCGGCCGAUGUCGGAUUAGCUAGUUGGUGGGGUAAAGGCUUACCAAGGCGACGAUCCGUAGCUGGUCUGAGAGGACGACCAGCCACACUGGGACUGAGACACGGCCCAGACUCCUACGGGAGGCAGCAGUGGGGAAUUUUGGACAAUGGGGGCAACCCUGAUCCAACCAUGCCGCGUGCGGGAAGAAGGCCUUCGGGUUGUAAACCGCUUUUGUUCGGGAAGAAAUCCUCUGGGCUAAUACCCCGGGGGGAUGACGGUACCGGAAGAAUAAGCACCGGCUAACUACGUG